AACGAACGCUGGCGGCAGGCUUAACACAUGCAAGUCGAGCGCCCCGCAAGGGGAGCGGCAGACGGGUGAGUGACGCGUGGGAAUCUACCCAUCUCUACGGAAUAACGCAUGGAAACGUGUGCUAAUACCGUAUACGUCCUUCGGGAGAAAGAUUUAUCGGAGAUGGAUGAGCCCGCGUUGGAUUAGCUAGCUGGUGGGGUAAAGGCCUACCAAGGCGACGAUCCAUAGCUGGUCUGAGAGGAUGCUCAGCCACACUGGGACUGAGACACGGCCCAGACUCCUACGGGAGGCAGCAGUGGGGAAUAUUGGACAAUGGGCGCAAGCCUGAUCCAGCCAUACCGCGUGAGUGAUGAAGGCCCUAGGGUUGUAAAGCUCUUUCACCGGUGAAGAUAAUGACGGUAACCGGAGAAGAAGCCCCGGCUAACUUCGUGCCAGCCGCCGCCGUAAAAC
rnacentral:rRNA from 1 species